GGUUUCACUUCCUUCCCGCCUCGCGGUUGCACAGGCCUCCAGAGCAAGGCUGGCAAAGAGGCUCGAGUGUGCGGCUUACACGCAUGAUCCAGAACAUAGUUUCGGACAAGUACUGCAAGGAGGCAUUCUAAAAUCUGCUCAUGAACUUUGGCAAGUGUACCCCUCCUCAAAAUGUGAUUGUGAAUUGUGGGGCAACCCACUGGACAGAGGGUGAAAAAGGAGAUACCAUACCAGGUCAGUGUUUUAAGGGGAAGAAUCAAGGAUGUGGGGGCAGGACAUUAGAGAGGGAAGAGGGGUGUGAGACUGGACUGGAGUUUGGGGAGGAUGGGCAAGAAGACAAGGCUAACGGCUCCAGGAGGGAGAGCUGAGUGGGCCCAGCAGUGGUGCCCGGAGGGUGAGGCAGGCCCAGCUUCACACCCUGCCUGGCCAUUCAGCUGUGUAGCCUCGGCCAUGCUAUUUAAACUCUCUAUAUUUCAGUUUCCUGAUCUGAAAGUGGAGAUAAUGAAAGCACCUACUACGUAAGGUCCGUUGUGAGAAUUCAAUGAAGAAGGCAUGCAAAGUCCCUGGGGUAUGGGAAGUUCUCAGUUGCAGCCAUUGCUAUUAUUGGAAGUGACUCCUGUGGUACGUCGGGCCAACCUAAUUAGCACAUGUGAGCUGCACCAGUGACUUCUAGUUGCACCCCAGGUCUACCUACUUGUCCUUUUCCUUCCCAAUCCCCCUCUCAAAGCCUUCGGCCCCCAAAUAUACCCCCGCCCCCAGGAACUUCCACUUCCGCAGCUCCUAAAUGGCUGGGACCUCUGGGCCCUUUGUCAUCUUCUCCAAAAAAGUACAAAGGUUAUCCAUUUAUAAACAAGAAGAAAUCCAAAAGUGAAAAUAUAAAGGAAUUAGGAAUUUCCUCAUCAAUUGUUCAAGAGUAAUUGUUUAAAAGUCAGAGGAAUCAGAAGGAAAGUGGUAGUAAAGAAAAACAAAAUUGAUUAAAGCAGAAGGUAGGAAGGGCCAGUCACCAACUUCGAACACAGUCAUCUGAAGAUGUUUUAAAUACCACAUCAGAGCUAAAGAUAAAGGUUUUCUUUACAAAAGCUUUGGUUAAAAGUAGAAGCUAAUUGUCACCUCACAGAAGGCGGGCUCUAACGACUCCAGUGUGACCCGGCCAGGGAGUGCAGCAAAGCUGCCAGGCCUGCAGCCGUGAGGCUGGACUUAUUCAUCAGGCAGAACCUACCUUGGCUGGGGGAGUGGAGGACCCCAGACUGCGAGGACCCCAGACUGCGCGGCAGAAAGAGGGGAAAUGGCUAGGCGCAGGUCCCUGGACACAGGAUCCAAAACCAUGAAGGCAAGCAGGGUCGGACCCAGGACGCCGACCAGCAGGCUCUGCAAAGCUCCUGGGGCAGGCAGCUGUCCAGAGCCAAGGUCUUGGCCUUUCAUUGCCAGAACCACCUCCAGGAGGCCGUCAGCCUCUGGGGUGUGGCUCCAAGCAUUGUCUAGCAGAAAAAGCAUGGCGUCUGAUGACAGCAAGCAACAGUGUAAAACAGUGAGAACAUUCUGGAAGAAUAUUCUGCUGAGUGCGGAGACCGUAAAAUGUAGAAGAGGGCUUGCUCUCCUUUUUACGCUUUAUUGAAGACAACCGUCAGAAGCAGAACUGGACGUGUGUUCAAGUCUGAAAAUCUACAGGGCAGAAAAAGAGAACCACAGCAUCUUUUAGUGACUACAAACUAAACCUAAAUGGAAUGAAGCCUGAAAGCAGGGGUGGGUAAUGACCCCCAAAAUUGGAGACAGGAGAGGUUUCAAAGUUAAACCUAUGGCUAUGCAAAUAUUUGAGAGGUAUUUUCAUUAAAACAUCUUUUUUUCCCACCAAUACCAUGAAUUAUCUGCUAUUGCUAUAUAUAACCUACAGCAGAGUACAGGAGAGUCACCUAGGGUUGAAGGUUUAAGCCGCCGGCUAUACCGUUUUCAUGGGUGAUAAAUAAGGUUCUCUGAUCCCCAGAGCUAAGAGAAUGGAAAUAAUAGUAGCUAAAGCUAAUUGAGAACUGGAUAUAUUUACUCAUUUAAUCCUUGCAGUGAUCUUAUAAGGUAGGGACUAUUCCCACACCCUUGACAGGUGAGUCCACUGAAGAGCCCAGAGAUUAAGUGACAAGCCUAAGGUCACACAGCUGGUCAGGAGUAAAGUCUGGACUUGUCCCUAGGCAGGUUUCCCCACCUCCUUCCCUGGUAGCAAGGAAACCAGGCGUCGGGGAGCCCGCCGGGAGCAGCUGCCCCAGCACAGGGAGCAGAUCCCUGGAGGAGAGCCCAGCAGGGAAGGCGGCCCAGGAACAGACACCAGCUGGCAGAAAAGGGAGUUUCCCAGAUCCUGGGAGCUUGUGCUUUUAAUAAGCAAACUGUUUUAGGAAAUGUAAACGUUAGCGGUGUGAUUGUGAAAAAAUUCUUAACAUUUCUGAGCCUGAAUGCUUUUAUAUGCAAUAAGGGGAAAGUAACAUGUGCCUCCUACUCAGUUUUUUACCAAAUAAGUUUCACAUGCAAAAUAAUACAUGUGAAAAUAUUCUUAAAACUAUAUAGUAACUACAUAACUAUACAGUGUAAGUAAUAUUGCUUGUACACAUCUUUCUAAAGUGUGUUUUUCUGGCUUCUUGGAGUGUGCUGAGCAUGACUUGACCUUUAUGGAUGAGUGGGGGUCAUUGUGAGCCUUUGUGAGACUCUGGGCCUGGAACUGCUGAAGCUCCGUCCCUGGGGGUGCCGUGCUCCUAGGUUUGAGCGCCGUUUACCCUGCUCUAGGUGGCUCUGCUUGGAUAGACUUUCUGUAUGAUUUCUCUGUCCCUUCCUGUGCAGUUCACUUGCCACUUCUGGCGGGUCUUUCCUCGGGCGAGCCUCCCGUCUAAUGGGCUCCUUCUUGUUGUCUGUGGACUGAGGAACCAGACCACCGAGCCUGCAAGCAGUGUGGGUGGGGGCAGAGCUUCUCCAGCCAUCCUCUGAGGUGGGGCACAGCAGAGGCGCGUAACUGACUUGCGCGUAACUGACUUCAGUUAGAGAGGGCAGCUGGAACACAUGAGUUUACCUCAGUUCCUCUCCAAAACCCGCCAAAAUGACAGUGGAGAGAGGUGGGUUUUUUAAAGCGUACAUCCACAAGAUGAAGAAAACAGGAACGGAGAAAAUAGCAGAAUAUUUUUGGAAGCCGGAAGAUAGAUGAACAAGCUCUAACAAUUUAGAAGUCUGAAAAAAGCGGAAUCGUAAACCAGCAGUGAGGAAGGCCAAGAACCCACCUGGAUGCCUCUGAAGGCAGGGCUGAAAGGUGGGUCCAAGGGAGGAGGAGUGGAAAGUUAUUUUAGGAAACACCUGGAAAAAAGACCGAGCAUGCCAGACCAUUUAAAAACAAAAACAAAAAAUCUAGAGCCACAGACAUCCCCCGUCUCUCUUCAGCAGAGCACCCAGGCUGGGCUUUGGAGGGCAGACCCGCGUCCCAGUGAAACUCUCAGCUCCCCCUGUCUGUCAGGCUGAGGCUGCCGGUACAGCGAGCCAGGAGCCCAGUGGAGAAGCAACGGUGUCACACACAGAUGGGGCUCCUGCAGCGGCGCUGCAGUCUCCGCCAGCCGUGAGGGGUCACUGCCAGGCUCUGAGGCAGGCCCUGGAAGAGGAGGCUGAGCGACGCAACCAUCCAUCACUCUGGAGUUUUUGUUCGAUGUCUAGCUUCUCCAUUAGAUUGCAACACAUUAAAUAUUUGUUCAAAAAUUGUUAGCAUUUAGUUAGCAUUUACUGUGUGCCAGACACUACACUCAAAGUCUUUACCAGCCUUGUCUCGGGUGGUCCUCAGACAACUCUGUGAGGUGGCUAAUCUGCCCAUUUUACAGACGCAGAAGUAUAGCCCAGAUCCGGUCAAAUAUCGGAUGCUAGGCAGACAGACUCCAAGGGCCUUGCUCCCCACCACUCUGUUUUAUUGCCUCCCAUGUGGUCUUUUUCAUUUAUUUAUUUAUUUUUUCCAGCUUUAUUGAGAUGUAAUUGACAAAUAAGAUGUGUAAGUUCAGGGUGUACAAUGCAAUGACUUGAUAUAUGUCUAUAUUAUCCAAUGAUGACGAUGAUAAGGUUAUCACUUCCCAUAGUGUGUGUGUGGUGAGAACCCGAGAUCUACUCUCGGCAACUGUCAAGUACACACCACAGAGGUGCUCGCUCAAGCUGCCAUGCUGUGCAUUCCGUCCCCAGGCCUGCCUCACCGCCCUCCAUGGGCAGGCAGUCACGGAUGAAUGCGAGGAUGGAGGAAAAGGAAACUCUUGAGUGUUUGUUGCAGGUAGUAGACACGUGGGUCUUCUCACCCUGCUGUAAUGGGGAAGAGGUAGGUGAGACCAGAGUGUCUUGCAAAGGGUGGCCAGUCAGCACAGCCAUUCACCUGUAGGCCUCUUUGUGCACCAUCUACUGAAAAAUUGUUGUAAUAAAUAGAUGAGUCUAUAUCAGUGAUGGAAACGGUGGUCUCUAGAAUUGUGCAGUGCUCGACUUGCACAAUUGCACAUGGCAGCCUUGGCGGCAAUGAGAAAUGCUAAUGGCAUAUUGAUAGUGCUGGGCUGAAUUAGUCUUUAUCCAUCUUCAGUGAAACACUGAAGUAUCCCUCGGGAUCAAGUCUUGAGUCUCCUUGUCUCUCAUCCUUCUGUUUCCAGUCUCCAACAUACUCUUUGCAAGCACUACAUUUGCCUUUACACUCUCCAUAAUUUUUUUGUUCCAUUCUUAUUUUUUCUUUUCCUAAUUUUUUGGGCGGUAGCACAGGGACUUUUUCUUUAUCGCACCUGUCACAGUCUGUGAGCCUAUAUUUUGGUCCUUCCCUCUGGCUAGUUGAGGGAUCCAUUAUCAAUCAUCCCAAUGUCCAUGUCUUGCCACCUUCAAAGUGGGUUCUGAAUCCAGACAUGGCUUGGCCUCCACUGAGAUUGCGCACACUUGGCCAGCAAUUCUCUACCGCAGACACGGGAACAAGCCAGGCUCGUGCUGGCCUCCAGGCCCUUGCAUGUGCACACUGAGCCUGGAAAAGUGUGUCCUUCCCCCUUCACCGAGCCAACUCCUACUUUCCAAUCUCAGCUUGGACUUCUUUUAGUCUCAGAAGUCUUGACUCCCUCCCCCAGGACAAAAACCAGGUCAGCGCCCUAUUUUAGCACUUAACAUACUAUACUGAAAUGUUCAGGUACCUGUGUGUCUCCAAGGAGGAUGCGCCUUCUCCGACGGCAGAGAUGGUCUUGUUCGCCAAGCACUGUGCCUGGCACGUUGUAACUACUCCACCAGUAUGAGCUCAGUGGAUGAAUAAACGAGUGAAAGAAGUCACAUAGUUUCCCUUACCUCUUCCGGCUUCAGUUCCUGUCACCAAGGGAGCGUGGGAACAGGGGACUCAACGCUGUCCCUUGCCGGGUCUUUGUCACUCAGAGCCUCCUGGGGAGAGAAAACUGAGGCAUGAGAAACCAAGAGAGCACACGGAGGAUCGUUGAGAGGGAGGAGGGCCUCUGGAGCACGGCCCACGGGGACCUUGAUCUCCUUCCCCAAGAGGAGCCCAGAGGCGGAGUGCGGGCGUCCCAUCCCUCCUGGAAGUGCCCCCCUCGUUUUCCACAGGGUGAGCAGGCAGACGAUGCCAUCACAGCCUCCUCACUGGACACUUUUCACCCCCUCCCCCGGGUUGCCCAGAGCCACGAUUAGCCCCAGGCCACUUGCUUUCCAAAGGACCCUCUGACCAACCCUUCAUCCGCAGAGACUGGAGGAAGCCCCUGGAAUGCUGGUCCCAGCCUGCAAGCCUCACUCCUUACAGUCACCUGGGAGAUUGACAAGCCGCAAGACUCGGAGCCCCACCCCUGAUCCAUUAAAUCAGAGUCCCUGGC